AGCUGACGCCAAAUCUAAUGCAACAACUUGCCAAGAUGAUCUAUACAAGAUGGGUAGGACUGAAUGCUGACCGCUCCUGCAAGACCUGAAUAAUGAGACCAACAAAUGCCGUACAAUAAGCUACAUCAGGUUCAAGAGAAUCCUGCUUUAUGGGAUCCUGUUAGUGAUGAUUUUAAGAAUCGUCAAGUUACAUCCGAGAUUUGGACCAAAAUUUGUCGAACAUUAUAUCCCGAAUGGGAUGGGCUUGACCAAAAGCUACAGUCCACAAUAUUGCAAGAUGUCAAGAACCAUUGGCGGUCAACCAAAGAUCAUUUUAGAAAAUAUAUGAAUGAUGUUGGCAAAAGUGGGUCUGCUGCACCUACAAAAAAAAGUUGCCCAUUUUGAGCAACUACAGUUUCUUCUAACCAGCCGCGUUGUUCGCAAUUCUAGUGGCAACAUUACAAAUCCUCGGACGUUGGAACCAGACAACGAAAGCCAACA